GACUAGACUAUUUUUAAAGGCCAGGUGUUAUUAGUGAUAGCCAGAUGACGACUUAUGUCUGGAACAACAGUAUAUAAGAUAGACUCUGCAAAAUAGAAUAGGGUUUGACUUUCUGAGACUCUGGUCUCUCUAUCUUUUCAGCCCACUUCCUCUUCUUUGGCUUCACUCGACAACUCUUAGACUCAGACUUAGAACUCUUACAGUUUAUGGAGGCACCGCUGGGAUAGAUCGAUCCUUGAAGUACAUUUGAUGCAUCGCAAGGAAAGAUAAAGAGAGCAUGGGGGACACGAGCUCAAGACAUCGUGGAACAACAAAAGAAGGGACUGGUUGCUGCAGUUGGUCAGCCCUCUGCUCCAGCAUUUCGCUGUUAUCAUUGCCAGCGCGAUGGUCACUACACAAACAGGUGCCCUGAUCAAAAUUUAGAGCGAAAUUUCAGAAAGCCUAGUUCCUCUUUUCAACAACAGCAGACACCAAAACCACUUCCUCGAGAUUGUGCUUAAAAAUAACCCUGGUGCAGAGAAGCAGGGUGCUGACAUGGAGAAUCAGAUAAAACAAACUCAUGCAGCAGGUUGAAAAAUUGACAAGAGCUUUUGAGAAUACAGACUGACAGAUAGUGGCCUCCAUUUUAUAUGAGCAUGAAGACCCUCGUCCAUUUUUUUACAUUCUAACCUAGGAGGCCAGGAUAGCUACAUUCUUGUGGGCCCCCGGGUCUGCAUCUCAGUAACUGUUAUUAAUUUGCCUUUAACAAACAAACAAAUGCAUCUUCAAGGUAUAUCUGGUCACAGUCUUUUCACACAGUCUCUAUUGAUUUCUCCAAUAAUAUAUCCAUUUGAACAGCCUUUUUGUGUGCAAUUCUGGGUUGGAGAAAGCCAAGUUGGCAUGGUAAUGGGAAUGGAUAUAUUGAGUAAAUUGGAAGCAGAUGUUUUGCUGACUAGGGGUCAAUUAAUUAGUCAGUGUUUACCAAUUCCCAUACCAGUGUUUAAUAAAACUGGAAUUUCUAAAUUAAGCCUUGGAGCUAUCACAGUUAAUGAAGUCACAGAGGUCUACUGAUUCCUCAGUGAUACAAUAUUUCUCUGAGAAAUUUCCAAAUUUGUGGUCAACUUCUAAACUUGAUGUUGGUCUUGGCAGGAUUGAGCCUUUGAAUGUUUCAGGUCGGUCCAUCCUAUACAUCCUCCAGUAUUCCAGUAUCCUCUUUAGAGAGAAGCAGAGUGAGCUGCACAGGAAAUUGUGAACCAGCUUCAGGAAUCAGGGAUUUUGGUAAGGUGUACUUCCUCAAUGAACUUACCUAUGCAGCCUGUGUGAAAAAAAUAAAUAAAUAAAAAGCCAGAUGGUAGCUAUAGGUUAACUAUAGACUACACCGCAUUGAAUGCUGUGACUCCUAAAAUAACUCCUAUUGUUGCUAACCCGUCAACCAUCCUCAAUGACAUUUCUCCGAACCAUUGCUAUUUUAGCGCAGUAGACAUAACCAAUGGUUUUUGGUCUUGUCCUAUCAGAAGAGAAGAUCAAUACAGAUUUGCCUUUCAAUAUUGUGACGACAUUCUUCUCACAUCUCAAGACAAAGCACAACACUUGAGUGUACUCACUCGGUUGUUGAAAGCUCUCCAAGAGGCGGGUUUCCUCUUGAACAAAUGAAAAGCCCAAUUGUUUCAAUCGGAAGUUACAUUUUUAUGUCAAAGUAUAGGUCGUGAGGGAAAGAGACCUCUUCCAGACCGGGUCAUAGCCAUUACUCAAUUCAAUAAGCCAACCACAGUUACUGGUUUAAGAUCAUUAAUGGGGCUAUUUAAUUUUAAUCGGAUGUAUAUCCCAGAUAUUUUUCUGAUUUGGCUAAACCUCUAACAGAGGCUCUUAAAGGAGGCCUUCCGGGUGCUUCCCCUUUGGAGUGGACAGCAGACAUGGCUGAGUCCUUUACUCUCCUCAAAUCCACAUUACUCUCCUCUCCCGCGUUAUAUCACCCCGACAUGACAAAGACAUUCCAUGUAUGGACACAUGUUGGCCCAAGUGCUUAUAACUGUGUGCUGGGACAAUGUAAAGGUGACAAAAGUUAUGGCAUUGUUGGGUAUUAUUCAACUUUGAUUCCCUCUUCCAUGAAUGGACAGAUGCCAGAUGCCAUCGUUUUCUACGCCUGCUCGCAGAGACAAAAAUAAAGUCGAUUUCAAAUCAACGACGUGCAAAAUGGGAAACUGCUCUCAUGAACCCUCAGCUCACUGUUGUUGCAGACAACCGGACAAAUUCUGCCUCCCUAAUGGAGAAUGAGGGGAGUGCACACGACUGCGCUGAGGUAAUUAUCUGUGACAGGGGACAUUUUGUCAGAGAUUAACUGUUUUCAGAUUCUCUGGCCAUGUUCGUGGAUGGCAGCAGUUUCUACUCUACGAGGGUGACACGCGCUAUACGGGCUGGGCGGUAGUAGAAGGGAAGACGGGCGAGGUCUUGGCUGAGGGGUCGCUUCGGGGAGGAAGUGCUCAGAUAGCUGAAUUGCAUGCUUUGAAAGCUGCCUUAAAUCUGGCUCUUAAACUAACUGCAGGUGAAAAUAGCUCCACUAAUAUAAAUAUUUUUACUGAUAGUGCAUACAGAUACCAUGUAUUGCAGAGUUAUGUCCCUGUUUGGAAACAUCGUGGUUAUUUGACCACAGCGGGUACUCCAAUAAGUCAUCAAACCAUGAUUGAAGAAAUUCUUGACACGUGUGAGAAAAUUCCACCAAACAGUGUCACGGUGUGUAAAGUCACAGUACUUUCAAUGAUUGGUUGGCGAAAGGAAACUCUCUAGCUGAUAAGGCUGCGAGAGAAGCUGCAAAGGGUGUGGCACUUGAGGAAGUAGUUGUUAUUUUCCCUGUUCAUCCUGAUUGCAUGGGUUCCGAAACUUUAUCUAAAUUGUACACAACUGAGGAUCGUGAAAUGUGUCAAAAAUUAGGAGCUACCUUAACUGAAGAAGGGGUUUAUGCUCUGAAUGACAAAGUCAUUCCGCCUAGCGGAUAUCAAACCAAACUGAACUAAUUGAUCUGUACCAGAGCAUUGCACACCAAGGGGUUCAGAAAACAUAUGCUAUGUUACAACAAACAUGGUUUUGGUCAGAGAUGUUACAAACUGUGAAGGAUAGACUGUCCAGAUGUAUCCACUGUUUGCAAAACGAAGCCAUAAUUUGGAAAAGGUAAAAUCCCAAUUGGUCACAGUCCUCGCCGGUGAGGACCAUUCACACAUUUACAAUUGGAUGUUAUUUGGUUACCUUCUGAUUAUGGGUACAAAUAUGUACUAGUUUUUGUCUGUAAAUUUUCCAGAUGCUCUGAAAGGGUAUAUUGGAUUUUCAGUCCCUCUCAUUGCACCAUGGUUCGGGAAUGAUAGAUUUUCAUAAAAUAGGGGUAACUUUACUGGGAUUUAGGUUUAUAAGCAAUGUCUGUAUUUGGUAACUGUGAGGUGACUGAGGGUCUGACCUAUGUCAGGAAUGCAAUAACAGUGAUUAUUCAUUUAGCCCGGCUUCCAGAGAAUAAUACAUAUAUAUGUUUAUGGCAAUAAAUUUAUUUUACGAUAUAACAAAUUAAUCAAAAUUCAUCAUAGUUGUAUAAGACAUAUAAAAAGAAUUCAAAUAAGUCAAAUUUCUUUCUAAAAAGGUCUUUGGGUUUAACUGUACAUUCCCCUACAGCUCCAUUAUUGCUCGUAGGUCCCUCGGGUCCAUUGAAGGACACUUUACAGGAGUAUCUUAAAGUACUCACGUGCGCAUUAAGAAUGCCCAUUUCAGUGCCCUCAGUGCUCAACAUGCUGGAGAUCUUAAAAACGCUAUAUUCAAUGUAAAGGUUAAAAAUCACGUACAAGUGGGGGACAAAGUGAUGAUACAGAAAAUAGGGAACUUAUGUUAGGACCAAUGUCCUCCAGGUAUGAGGGUCCUUCUUCGGUGUUGUUGACUACUCCAACAUCUCUUCUUGUUGAAAUCGAGCCAGGGCUGACUCGAUGGAUGCAUCUUGCACAAGUGAAGCCUCUGUCGCCGCUUGCCGAUACUAACUCUCUCUCUAAUGUGAUUUAGUCCAACAGGUGCAGUACUUUAUAUCCAAGGAAUGGCUUCUAAGGAAGAACAAUGACUAAUUGUUUCCUCUCUUUAGGUUCUCAACUAUGAUUCCAUCCGGACCUGUUGUGUUAAUAUAUAUAUAUAUAAAAAAAGAGAAACUGAAAACCAUGGUGUUUGUGUUUAUGUGUAUUGGUGUUGUCCUGUUUGGUUGUCUAUGUGUCGUUGUGUGUGUUGUGUUUUUAUCCAAAAAUUUCUGCUCCUACUAUUCUAUAUCUCUAAAAGGUACGAGUGCAUGCUGUCACAGAAAUAUUCUGCGUAUAUUUACCACACACGACUGGUUCUAAGGGUGACCCUUUGAUGUGACUUCUGCAACAGUGCAGCUCAUUGACAUUCUGGGAGUGGUUGCUGUGCUCGUGGCUGGACAUCAGUGUUUCAUUGCAUCAUCAUAACAUCACUUGUUUACUAACUCUACGCCAUCUGAGAGACCUGUGCUAAGUCUACCGACAUAUAUAUAUAUACAUUUGUGAAGGGUAAGGAAAGGUUUGAGAUGUUGAAAAUGAUCAACGAAAGUUUGGAAAUUAACGACAUGGUACCAUAAGGACAAAUAUCUUCAACUACUACCUCCCAAGGGCAAGAAGAGAAAGAACGAUGAUAGAGUUUAGAGUUGGGAAAGAUGGAAGGCUGUGGUAAGUCCUCAACCCAGCAAAAGUCCAGGGGACGCCAGGGGUCGAAUUUCCUUAGGAGUUCUCGUCUGGCCAUCUUGGUGAAGAUCUUUGUUAAUUUUAAGGUAGCUGGGGUUAGAGAGGUAUCUACAGUACUAUCUAUCUGAAAUUUUGCUAUUGAUUUUCUAUAUUUUCAUGUAUGCAUCAUGUAUUUUUCUUUUGAAUUACUCUGUAUUUCUGUAUUUUUGGUUUUGAUUUAAGGAAAAGGUUGUGGCGAGUCUUUUGAUAAGACUCGAGUGGGGGAUUGGUGUGUGGAGAUUCUAAGAAAUCCACAUGGUGAUAGAGAUUCUGAGAAGAAGUCCACGUAUUUAAAUUAAACCCAAGUGUUGCUGAGAGAUUCUGAGAAGUCACGUACUCAAAAUGUGUUCUAUUCAUAAUAAGUUUCAUUUCAAAAGUUAAAAAUUAAUAUUUCAUGGUAAGGAUCUGUCUCAUAUAUAUAUAUAUUAACAGGUUUCAUUUUUAUAUUCAAAAAUGUUUUAGGUAAACUUUAUGGUAUAUUUCAUAUGUAAUUUCACAGUAUUUCUAACUGCGUAGUCAGCUGAGUCUGUUUUGCAUAUGAAGUUGAAACAAACUGGAACAACAGUUCCCUUUCAGUCGGUCACUCUCGACGCCACGUCGGUGACCGACGAAAAUGGGAUAUCGCUUCGAUAGACCAAUCUACUUCGAGUGU
ensembl:lncRNA